rnacentral:rRNA from 1 species
UACGUAGGGGGCUAGCGUUGUCCGGAUUUAUUGGGCGUAAAGAGCGUGUAGGCGGCCAUACAGGUCCGUUGUGAAAACUGGAGGCUUAACCUCCAGACGUCGAUGGAAACCGUAUGGCUAGAGUCCGGAAGAGGAGAGUGGAAUUCCUGGUGUAGCGGUGAAAUGCGCAGAUAUCAGGAAGAACACCCGUGGCGAAGGCGGCUCUCUGGGACGGUACUGACGCUGAGACGCGAAAGCGUGGGGAGCGAACAGGG